rnacentral:rRNA from 1 species
UACGUAGGGUGCGAGCGUUAAUCGGAAUUACUGGGCGUAAAGCGUGCGUAGACGGUUAUUUAAGUCGGAUGUGAAAGCCCCGGGCUCAACCUGGGAAUUGCAUUCGAGACUGAAUAGCUAGGGUGCGGUAGAGGGAAGCGGAAUUUCCGGUGUAGCGGUGAAAUGCGUAGAUAUCAGGAAGAACACCUAUGGCGAAGGCAGCUCACUGGGACGGUAUUGACGCUGAGACGCGAAAGCGUGGGGAGCAAACAGG